GCUUAACACAUGCAAGUCGAGGGGCAUCAGGAAGAAAGCUUGCUUUCUUUGCUGGCGACCGGCGCACGGGUGAGUAACACGUAUCCAACCUGCCCUUUACUCGGGGAUAGCCUUUCGAAAGAAAGAUUAAUACCCGAUAGCAUAAUGAUUCCGCAUGGUUUCAUUAUUAAAGGAUUCCGGUAAAGGAUGGGGAUGCGUUCCAUUAGGUUGUUGGUGGGGUAACGGCCCACCAAGCCUUCGAUGGAUAGGGGUUCUGAGAGGAAGGUCCCCCACAUUGGAACUGAGACACGGUCCAAACUCCUACGGGAGGCAGCAGUGAGGAAUAUUGGUCAAUGGGCGCUAGCCUGAACCAGCCAAGUAGCGUGAAGGAUGAAGGCUCUAUGGGUCGUAAACUUCUUUUAUAUAAGAAUAAAGUGCAGUAUGUAUACUGUUUUGUAUGUAUUAUAUGAAUAAGGAUCGGCUAACUCCGUGCCAGCAGCCGCGGUAAUACGGAGGAUCCGAGCGUUAUCCGGAUUUAUUGGGUUUAAAGGGAGCGUAGGUGGACUGGUAAGUCAGUUGUGAAAGUUUGCGGCUCAACCGUAAAAUUGCAGUUGAUACUGUCAGUCUUGAGUACAGUAGAGGUGGGCGGAAUUCGUGGUGUAGCGGUGAAAUGCUUAGAUAUCACGAAGAACUCCGAUUGCGAAGGCAGCUCACUGGACUGCAACUGACACUGAUGCUCGAAAGUGUGGGUAUCAAACAGGAUUAGAUACCCUGGUAGUCCACACAGUAAACGAUGAAUACUCGCUGUUUGCGAUAUACAGUAAGCGGCCAAGCGAAAGCAUUAAGUAUUCCACCUGGGGAGUACGCCGGCAACGGUGAAACUCAAAGGAAUUGACGGGGGCCCGCACAAGCGGAGGAACAUGUGGUUUAAUUCGAUGAUACGCGAGGAACCUUACCCGGGCUUAAAUUGCAGUGGAAUGAUGUGGAAACAUGUCAGUGAGCAAUCACCGCUGUGAAGGUGCUGCAUGGUUGUCGUCAGCUCGUGCCGUGAGGUGUCGGCUUAAGUGCCAUAACGAGCGCAACCCUUAUCUUUAGUUACUAACAGGUCAUGCUGAGGACUCUAGAGAGACUGCCGUCGUAAGAUGUGAGGAAGGUGGGGAUGACGUCAAAUCAGCACGGCCCUUACGUCCGGGGCUACACACGUGUUACAAUGGGGGGUACAGAAGGCAGCUAGCGGGUGACCGUAUGCUAAUCCCAAAAGCCUCUCUCAGUUCGGAUCGAAGUCUGCAACCCGACUUCGUGAAGCUGGAUUCGCUAGUAAUCGCGCAUCAGCCACGGCGCGGUGAAUACGUUCCCGGGCCUUGUACACACCGCCCGUCAAGCCAUGGGAGCCGGGGGUACCUGAAGUACGUAACCGCAAGGAUCGUCCUAGGGUAAAACUGGUGACUGGGGCUAA
rnacentral:rRNA from 1 species